UACAGAGGUCUCAAGCGUUGUUCGGAUUCAUUGGGCGUAAAGGGUGCGUAGGCGGCGCGGUAAGUCGGGUGUGAAAUCUCGGGGCUUAACUCCGAAACUGCAUUCGAUACUGCCGUGCUUGAGGACUGGAGAGGAGACUGGAAUUUACGGUGUAGCGGUGAAAUGCGUAGAUAUCGUAAGGAAGACCAGUGGCGAAGGCGGGUCUCUGGGCCUGUCCUGACGCUCAGGCGCGAAAGCUAGGGGAGCGAACAGG
rnacentral:rRNA from 1 species